AUUGAACGCUGGCGGCAUGCCUUACACAUGCAAGUCGAACGGUAACAGGUCUUCGGAUGCUGACGAGUGGCGAACGGGUGAGUAAUACAUCGGAACGUGCCCGAGAGUGGGGGAUAACGAGGCGAAAGCUUUGCUAAUACCGCAUACGAUCUCAGGAUGAAAGCAGGGGACCGCAAGGCCUUGCGCUCACGGAGUGGCCGAUGGCAGAUUAGGUAGUUGGUGGGAUAAAAGCUUACCAAGCCGACGAUCUGUAGCUGGUCUGAGAGGACGACCAGCCACACUGGGACUGAGACACGGCCCAGACUCCUACGGGAGGCAGCAGUGGGGAAUUUUGGACAAUGGGCGCAAGCCUGAUCCAGCCAUGCCGCGUGCAGGAUGAAGGCCUUCGGGUUGUAAACUGCUUUUGUACGGAACGAAAAGACUUCUUCUAAUAAAGGGGGUCCAUGACGGUACCGUAAGAAUAAGCACCGGCUAACUACGUGCCAGCCGCCGCAGUAAGAC
rnacentral:rRNA from 1 species